AUGAUGAAUAACAGAUCAUUAGACUUCAGGGAGAAUUCUUCACUAUUCUGUUGCUGCUUUUUACAUUUGUCAGAUAGAGACAACACAUUUCACCACCGUCCAUGACACCAAGAUAAAAGUUGUGCAACUUCCAAAGACCCUGUGUGCUAAAAGACAACAGUUACUGCCUUUGAAGUAGGCUGCACUUCAAAACCUGAGUGUACAGCGUCUUCUCCUUCGGCAGAGGCUCCCUGGCAUGGCAGGGGCUAGUUUGUGAAUGAAGCCUUUCAGAACUGGCUGAGAACAUAGUGCAGCACAAAAGGCACGAUGGGUCAUGAUUUAAAGUUGCUGCAGUUUACUCCAGAAACUCAAGGACAGUGUGACCCACUUAGUGGAUGAGAGGAAUGCUGCAGAUGUUGUCUACCUACAACUUUGGUGAAGCCUUGACACUUUACAGUAUUCUUCUGGAGGAACUGGUUGUUCAUGGCUUGGAUGAAGAAUGCUUCAGUGAGCAAAAAAGUCACCUGGAUAGCCAGGCCAGAGUGGUGAUGAACGGAUUUAAAUCCAGUUGAUGGCCAGUCACAAGCGGUGAUCCCUAGGGCUCCAUAUUGGAGCCGGUGCUGUUUAAUAACCAUCAGUGAGUUCACAGAAAGCACCAAGCUGGGUGGGAGUGCUGGUGUGCUGGAGGGCAGGAAGGCUCUGCAGAGGGAUCUGAACAGGCUGGAUUGAUGGUCUGAGACCAAUUGUAUGAGGUUGAAAAGGCAAAAUGUUGGGUCCUGCACUUGGGUCUCAACAACCCCAUGCAGAACUGCAGGCUGGGGGAAGAGUGGCUGGAAAAUUGUCUGAAGUAAAAAGCCCUGAGGAUGCUGAUCGACAUCCAGCUGAACAUGAGCCAGCAUUGUUUU